UGUGGCAUGGGAAGAGCUUGCUUAUGAAGUUAGCGGCGGAGGGUGAGUAACACGUGGGUAACCUGCCCAUAAGACUGGGAUAACUCCGGGAAACCGGGGCUAAUACCGGAUAACAUUUUGGACCGCAUGGUUCGAAAUUGGAAGGCGGAAUCGGUUGUCACUUAUGGAUGGAUCAGCGUCGCAUAAGUUAGUUGGUGAGGUAACGGCUCACCAAGGCAACGAUGCCGAGCCGACCUGAGAGGGUGAUCGCCACACUGGCACUGAAGACGGCCACUCCGGGGGCAGCAUUGGAAUCAUCCG
rnacentral:rRNA from 1 species